CGGGAUAAUUAUAUCGUUAUCACGGGAUAACGGUUUGUUUUCUCGAGAUCUCUAAUUAAUUAUGUCGUUAUCACGGGAUAACGGUUUGUUUUCUCGAGAUCUCUAAUUAAUUAUGUCGUUAUCACGGGAUAACGGUUUGUUUUCUCGAGAUCUCCAAUUAAUUAUGUCAUUAUCUCGGGAUAACAAGGUGAAUUUAAAAAGUAUUACAAAAAGUGCCUCUGUUGGCUUCCGUACAGGAUGGAUGAA